rnacentral:rRNA from 1 species
UACAAAGGUCUCAAGCGUUGUUCGGAUUCAUUGGGCGUAAAGGGCGCGUAGGCGGCGGGGUAAGUCGGGUGUGAAAUCUCAGAGCUCAACUCUGAAACUGCACUCGAUACUGCUCUGCUUGAGGACUGGAGAGGAGACUGGAAUUCACGGUGUAGCAGUGAAAUGCGUAGAUAUCGUGAGGAAGACCAGUGGCGAAGGCGGGUCUCUGGACAGUUCCUGACGCUGAGGCGCGAAGGCCAGGGGAGCAAACGGG